AAUACAAGUCGAGAAUGAGAAUUUCUCGUUAAAAUUUCUCAAAAAAAAUAAUAAAUGCAAAUAACAUUUUAAAAUUCUUUACCAAGUCUCCGGUAGUAGCAUUCGCUUAAAACCUUUGGUUUCACAUUAGUCUAAUCUUAAUUUAAUAUGAAAAUCUUUAAGAUGCAGCUAAAAAAUAAAUUUAGCUAAGAACCCUACGCAAUCAAAUGUAUGUAUAAAACUUGGAAUACUAUUGACUAAUACAAUCUAAUUGGACGAGG
rnacentral:sRNA from 1 species